CUUGAAUAGGAUCAAUAAGGAUCGUUGGAAACUCUUAUGUAGCAUUUGUGGUGUAGCUUAUGGAGCCUGCAUUCAAUGUUCGAAUAAUACUUGUCGGGUGGCAUAUCAUCCUCUUUGUGCACGGGCAGCUGGCCUUUGUGUUGAGCUUGAGGAUGAGGAUAGACUCCACCUCCUUGCUGUAGAUGACGAUGAAGAGGAUCAGUGCAUUCGCCUUCUUUCCUUCUGCAAGAAGCACAGACAGCCAUCUAAUGAGCGUCCAGUUAUAGAUGAACGGAUUGGUCGAGUUACUCGCCGAUGUUCUGACUAUGUCCCNNNNNNNNNNNNNUGGCUGUGCUCGUACCGAGCCUUACAAUUAUUUUGGAAGAAGAGGGCGGAAAGAACCAGAAGCCCNNNNNNNNNNGAAGCGCUUGUUUGUUGAGAAUCAACCUUACUUGGUUGGAGGUUACUGUCAACAUCAAUCAUCGGGCAGUACACUACCUUCAAAUGGAGUCGUAGGCGCCAGAUUCUCUUCUAACCUUCAGAAAAUAAAAGCCUCUCAGCUUGAUGCUCCUAACAACAUUCUCUCUAUGGCUGAAAAGUAUAAUUACAUGUGGCAGACCUUCCGGAAGAGAUUAGCUUUUGGCAAAUCAGGAAUUCAUGGAUUUGGCAUCUUUGCAAAGCAUCCACAUAGGGCAGGGGACAUGGUUAUUGAAUACACUGGUGAACUUGUCAGGCCUCCUAUAGCUGACAGGAGGGAACACUUCAUAUACAAUUCAUUGGUGGGUGCUGGAACUUACAUGUUUCGCAUUAAUGAUGAAAGAGUCAUUGAUGCAACAAGGGCAGGAAGCAUUGCUCAUCUGAUUAAUCACUCAUGCGAGCCC
rnacentral:misc_RNA from 1 species